rnacentral:rRNA from 1 species
CAUCACUACGCUAGAUGCAUAUCAAUAAGCGGAGGAAAAGAAACUAACAAGGAUUCCCCUUAGUAACGGCGAGUGAAGCGGGAAGAGCUCAAAUUUGAAAUCUUCAAGGGUUUACCUUUACGAAUUGUAGUUUAAAGAAGUGUUUUCUGUUGGAGUUUUGGUAAAAGUUCUUUGGAAUAGGACAUCAUAGAGGGUGAGAAUCCCGUAUUUGUACCAUUCUUUCUAGCUGUGUGAUACACUUUCAACGGUCGGAUUGUCUGGGAAUGCAGUCCAAAAUGGGUGGUAAAUUUCAUCUAAAGCUAAAUAUUGGCGAGAGACCGAUAGCGAACAAGUACCGUGAGGGAAAGAUGAAAAGAACUUUGAAAAGAGAGUUAAACAGUACGUGAAAUUGUCAAAAGGGAAGCGUUUGACACCAGUGUUGUUUUCCUCGAAAAUCAAUUACGAAUGUUUUGUUUUUAAGAAGUUAUGACUUCAUCGGCUUGCUUCUUUCUUUACGAAACUUCCUUAAUGCACUUUUCGGUUAACAAGUCAACAUCAAUUUCUUUUGUUGUAAAAGGGUAUGAGGAAGGUGGCUUUCUUUUCGGAGAAAGUGUUUAUAGCCUUGUACCUCUGCAAUCGGAGAGAUUGAGGUCUGCAGCGUAGAUCCUUCGGGGUUAGAUACAUUUGUGCUAAGUUAUAGCUUUUCGUAGACAACUUGUUGACUAUGCUCAGUCAUGUAGCUUACUCGCUUGUGCUAUUUUACCUACGCUUAGGAUGUUGACACACGCGCGUGCUCG